rnacentral:rRNA from 1 species
GAUUAAGUUAUUAAGGGCGCACGGUGGAUGCCUUGGCACUAGAAGCCGAUGAAGGACGUUACUAACGACGAUAUGCUUUGGGGAGCUGUAAGUAAGCUUUGAUCCAGAGAUUUCCGAAUGGGGAAACCCAGCAUGAGUUAUGUCAUGUUAUCGAUAUGUGAAUACAUAGCAUAUCAGAAGGCACACCCGGAGAACUGAAACAUCUUAGUACCCGGAGGAAGAGAAAGAAAAUUCGAUUCCCUUAGUAGCGGCGAGCGAAACGGGAAGAGCCCAAACCAACAAGCUUGCUUGUUGGGGUUGUAGGACACUCUAUACGGAGUUACAAAGGACGACAUUAGACGAAUCAUCUGGAAAGAUGAAUCAAAGAAGGUAAUAAUCCUGUAGUCGAAAAUGUUGUCUCUCUUGAGUGGAUCCUGAGUACGACGGAGCACGUGAAAUUCCGUCGGAAUCUGGGAGGACCAUCUCCUAAGGCUAAAUACUCUCUAGUGACCGAUAGUGAACCAGUACCGUGAGGGAAAGGUGAAAAGCACCCCGGAAGGGGAGUGAAAUAGAACCUGAAACCGUGUGCUUACAAGUAGUCAGAGCCCGUUAAUGGGUGAUGGCGUGCCUUUUGUAGAAUGAACCGGCGAGUUACGAUUUGAUGCAAGGUUAAGCAGUAAAUGUGGAGCCGUAGCGAAAGCGAGUCUGAAUAGGGCGUUUAGUAUUUGGUCGUAGACCCGAAACCAGGUGAUCUACCCUUGGUCAGGUUGAAGUUCAGGUAACACUGAAUGGAGGACCGAACCGACUUACGUUGAAAAGUGAGCGGAUGAACUGAGGGUAGCGGAGAAAUUCCAAUCGAACCUGGAGAUAGCUGGUUCUCUCCGAAAUAGCUUUAGGGCUAGCCUCAAGUGAUGAUUAUUGGAGGUAGAGCACUGUUUGGACGAGGGGCCCCUCUCGGGUUACCGAAUUCAGACAAACUCCGAAUGCCAAUUAAUUUAACUUGGGAGUCAGAACAUGGGUGAUAAGGUCCGUGUUCGAAAGGGAAACAGCCCAGACCACCAGCUAAGGUCCCAAAAUAUAUGUUAAGUGGAAAAGGAUGUGGCGUUGCCCAGACAACUAGGAUGUUGGCUUAGAAGCAGCCAUCAUUUAAAGAGUGCGUAAUAGCUCACUAGUCGAGUGACACUGCGCCGAAAAUGUACCGGGGCUAAACAUAUUACCGAAGCUGUGGAUUGUCCUUUGGACAAUGGUAGGAGAGCGUUCUAAGGGCGUUGAAGCAUGAUCGUAAGGACAUGUGGAGCGCUUAGAAGUGAGAAUGCCGGUGUGAGUAGCGAAAGACGGGUGAGAAUCCCGUCCACCGAUUGACUAAGGUUUCCAGAGGAAGGCUCGUCCGCUCUGGGUUAGUCGGGUCCUAAGCUGAGGCCGACAGGCGUAGGCGAUGGAUAACAGGUUGAUAUUCCUGUACCACCUAUAAUCGUUUUAAUCGAUGGGGGGACGCAGUAGGAUAGGCGAAGCGUGCGAUUGGAUUGCACGUCUAAGCAGUAAGGCUGAGUAUUAGGCAAAUCCGGUACUUAUUAAGGCUGAGCUGUGAUGGGGAGAAGACAUUGUGUCUUCGAGUCGUUGAUUUCACACUGCCGAGAAAAGCCUCUAGAUAGAAAAUAGGUGCCCGUACCGCAAACCGACACAGGUAGUCAAGAUGAGAAUUCUAAGGUGAGCGAGCGAACUCUCGUUAAGGAACUCGGCAAAAUGACCCCGUAACUUCGGGAGAAGGGGUGCUCUUUAGGGUUAACGCCCAGAAGAGCCGCAGUGAAUAGGCCCAAGCGACUGUUUAUCAAAAACACAGGUCUCUGCUAAACCGUAAGGUGAUGUAUAGGGGCUGACGCCUGCCCGGUGCUGGAAGGUUAAGAGGAGUGGUUAGCUUCUGCGAAGCUACGAAUCGAAGCCCCAGUAAACGGCGGCCGUAACUAUAACGGUCCUAAGGUAGCGAAAUUCCUUGUCGGGUAAGUUCCGACCCGCACGAAAGGCGUAACGAUUUGGGCACUGUCUCAACGAGAGACUCGGUGAAAUCAUAGUACCUGUGAAGAUGCAGGUUACCCGCGACAGGACGGAAAGACCCCGUGGAGCUUUACUGUAGCCUGAUAUUGAAAUUCGGCACAGCUUGUACAGGAUAGGUAGGAGCCUUUGAAACGUGAGCGCUAGCUUACGUGGAGGCGCUGGUGGGAUACUACCCUAGCUGUGUUGGCUUUCUAACCCGCACCACUUAUCGUGGUGGGAGACAGUGUCAGGCGGGCAGUUUGACUGGGGCGGUCGCCUCCUAAAAGGUAACGGAGGCGCUCAAAGGUUCCCUCAGAAUGGUUGGAAAUCAUUCAUAGAGUGUAAAGGCAUAAGGGAGCUUGACUGCGAGACCUACAAGUCGAGCAGGGUCGAAAGACGGACUUAGUGAUCCGGUGGUUCCGCAUGGAAGGGCCAUCGCUCAACGGAUAAAAGCUACCCCGGGGAUAACAGGCUUAUCUCCCCCAAGAGUUCACAUCGACGGGGAGGUUUGGCACCUCGAUGUCGGCUCAUCGCAUCCUGGGGCUGUAGUCGGUCCCAAGGGUUGGGCUGUUCGCCCAUUAAAGCGGUACGCGAGCUGGGUUCAGAACGUCGUGAGACAGUUCGGUCCCUAUCCGUCGUGGGCGUAGGAAAUUUGAGAGGAGCUGUCCUUAGUACGAGAGGACCGGGAUGGACAUACCUCUGGUGUACCAGUUGUCGUGCCAACGGCAUAGCUGGGUAGCUAUGUGUGGACGGGAUAAGUGCUGAAAGCAUCUAAGCAUGAAGCCCCCCUCAAGAUGAGAUUUCCCAACUUCGGUUAUAAGAUCCCUCAAAGAUGAUGAGGUUAAUAGGUUCGAGGUGGAAGCAUGGUGACAUGUGGAGCUGACGAAUACUAAUCGAUCGAAGACUUAAUCAA